rnacentral:rRNA from 1 species
UACAGAGGGGGCAAGCGUUGUUCGGAAUUACUGGGCGUAAAGGGCGCGUAGGCGGCCUGUUAAGUCAGACGUGAAAUCCCUCGGCUCAACCGGGGAACUGCGUCUGAUACUGGCGGGCUUGAAUUCGGGAGAGGGAUGUGGAAUUCCAGGUGUAGCGGUGAAAUGCGUAGAUAUCUGGAGGAAUACCGGUGGCGAAGGCGGCAUCCUGGACCGGCAUUGACGCUGAGGAGCGAAAGCCAGGGGAGCAAACGGG